GGGGGUGACAGAUUGCCACAAACCGGUCAUAUGCCAUCGCAGCCAGGAGGAGACUAUCCAAACAUCCAAAAAGCAUAAAAAAAGACAUCUGAGUCAGGCAGCCCACAUACGAGAUGACUCUGCUCUGCGUUUGGAUGUCCACAAUCAUCUUGGGGAUGGUAGUAGAGGUGAAACCGAUGUCAGCCAAUGACAGGUUGGAGAGGAAAAAGUACAUGGGGGUGUGGAGGUGGGGGUCAGAGCUGACGGCCAGGAUGAUGAGCAGGUUCCCGAGCACGCUGACCAGGUACAUAGACAGGAACAGCCCAAAGAGGAGGGGCUGCAGUUCUAGAUCAUCUGAGAGUCCCGUGAGGAAGAAUUCUGAAACCCUUGUUAGAUUUUGUGGUUCUAUGUACCUUGGACACCUUUUGAAAAAGAAAAGAAGGUUGGGGAAAGUAAACAAGUCAAUGGGCAUUCAGCACUGUGUCCAUGUUGUGUAUUCAAGCAGUUCACAAGGAAAAUAUUCACACUUAGGAUCAUACAGUCCAGUACCUUCAACAAUAUUUCUGUGCCUAAAAUUCAAUUGUCUUAGAACUGUUUCCUCACUCGUUUCUCUGUUAUUCUCUCUUUCUCUCUCUUUUUUAAAUUUUAGACAGAGUCCACAGGAGUGGAGGAGGGGGCAGAGGGAGUGGGAUUGAGAAUCCAGGGUUCUAUCUCAUGACCCUGGGACCAUAAUCUGAGCAGAAAUCAAGUCAGCCACUCAAACAACUGAGCCAUCCAGGUACCCUCUUCCUAUACACACUUUAAAGAUACUCAGCUGAAGAAUGUUAGAGGAGCAAGAACAUUUAGAGAUAAAUGAUAAAUCCAUGAUCACCAUAAAAUACUCUUUUAAAGAAAUAUAUUGAAUAAGAAACAUUCUUCUUCCUUUAAGGAAAAAAUUAUUCUAAUUAAAGGGCACUUAGAAGCAUCCUAUUUUAUUCAAAUAAGUGCAAGAAAUUCUCUUUAGGAUAUUGAUAAACUGUGUAAUUGCUAGAAUUACACUCUGACAUUCUAAAUUAAAGUCAAAUAUUUACAAUCAGAAAGUUUUUCAAAGUGUAUUAAUUUUCUUCAUGGGUUUCAUCACUGUCUGGUUUUCUGACUUUUCUCCUCAGUGGAAAUAUGUGUUCACUCACAUAUGUGGGUUGUCUCCUUAAAGUCUUUUCAAAUAUAGGGGUGCCUGUUGGCUCAGUCGGUUAAAUGUCCAAUUCCUGAUUUCGGUCAUGAUCUCAUGGUUCAUGGGUUCAAGCCCUGUGUUGGACUCUAUGCUGACAGCACAAAGCCUGCUUAAAAUUCUC
rnacentral:lncRNA from 1 species